AUUGAACGCUGGCGGCAGGCCUAACACAUGCAAGUCGAGCGAGCGGCGGACGGGUGAGUAAUGUAUGGGGAUCUGCCCGAUGGAGGGGGAUAACUACUGGAAACGGUGGCUAAUACCGCAUCCUGUCGGAUGUGCCCAUAUGGGAUUAGCUAGUAGGUGGGGUAACGGCUAACCUAGGCGACGAUCCCUAGCUGGUCUGAGAGGAUGAUCAGCCACACUGGAACUGAGACACGGCCCAGACUCCUACGGGAGGCAGCAGUGGGGAAUAUUGCACAAUGGGCGCAAGCCUGAUGCAGCCAUGCCGCGUGUAUGAAGAAGGCCUUCGGGUUGUAAAGUACUUUCAGUGGGGAGGCGUUACCGGCAGAAGAAGCACCGGCUAACUCCGUGCCAGCAGCCGCGGUAAUAC
rnacentral:rRNA from 1 species